UACGUAGGGUGCAAGCGUUUGUCCGGAAUUAUUGGGCGUAAAGAGCUCGUAGGCGGUCUGUCGCGUCGGAUGUGAAAAUCCAGGGCUCAACCCUGGACCUGCAUUCGAUACGGGCAGACUAGAGUUCGGUAGGGGGAGACUGGAAUUCCUGGUGUAGCGGUGAAAUGCGCAGAUAUCAGGAGGAACACCGGUGGCGAAGGCGGUUCUCUGGGCCUUACCUGACGCUGGAGGAGCGAAAGCGUGGGGAGCGAACAGG
rnacentral:rRNA from 1 species